CGGAUUUCUGCUACUGAUUGAUUUUAAUUGAUACAUGAUUAUUUUCUUUCUUUGUUCCAUGCCUGAUUUCAAGCUAUGAAUACAUGCUCCUUUUGUUAACACAAACCAACACUCAAGUCUUUUCUGGACUCACACUCACACACAAAGUAUUUUCUCUUGUUGUUUGUACUGUGUCUUCUUUGCAAGACUUCUGCCUUCUUCUGCUUGUCUCUUUAUGAAAUUGGUAUGUCCUAGUUCUAAUUUCAUCGCCAACUCUAAUGUGUUUACUUACCAGUUCUUAUGUCUAUGCUUACUUUACGUUUAUAGAAUCUAACCUUUGUGCAAU
rnacentral:lncRNA from 1 species